rnacentral:sRNA from 1 species
GCUGGGUGUGGUGGUGCACACCUGUAAUACCAGCAGCUGGGGAGGCUGAGGCAGGGGGAUUGCAAGUUCAAAGCCAGCCUCUC